UUCAGUGUUUUAUAGAUGUGCUCACAUGUAAUCUAAACAAGAACUCUACAAGAGAGGUAUCCAGAGCCCCAUUUUAUAGAUAAGGAAAUUGAGGCUCAGAGAGGACAAGCGACUUGGCUAAGCUCCUGCAGCUGAGUUGGGGGCUGCAUCUGACAAGUGGCUGUGGUUUCAAGUCUCUGGAGUCCCAUUUUUUUCUCUUCCAUGGAGUUUGUUUGCUGCAGUUUGAGCAGCCGAGGCAUAUGAUAAAUACCAGGUGUCCUUAGAAGAAGAGGAGAUUGGGCCCCAGACACACAUGCACAGAAGAAAGACCACGUGAAGACAGAGGGAGAAGUCGGCGAUCUACAAACCAAGGAAACAUCCUCAGAAUGAAACCAACCUUGCCAACCCCUGAUCCUAGACCUCCGGCCUCCACAACGGCCUUUGGACUCAGAUGGAAUUAUACCACAGGGUUUCCUGGAUCUCCAGCAUGCAGAUGGCAGAUUGUGGAACUUCUCAGCCUCCAAAAUCGAGUGAGCCAAUUCCCAUCAUAAAUCCCCUCUCCUGUGUCUAAAUAUGUCCUAUUGCUUCUCCUUCUCUGGAGAAUGCUGACUAAUACAGACAUAAUACAGCAGUCUUUGGGGUUGAUGUAUGAGUAUGUGGAGGAAGAACUAGACAUGAAGCAGAAUGUGCUUUCUUUAACAUAACUUCUUCAUUAAAAUAGUUCUAUGUGCUUAGUACAAAACUUGGAAAAUACAGAAAUGUAGUGAAAAAG
rnacentral:antisense_RNA from 1 species